AGAAAUCUGUGUUCUUUUUCACUUUUGUGCCUUUGCUUUUUUGUCCUUUUCUUUUUGGACUUGUUGGUGAUUCUCAGCUGCAGACAGCUUUAGAGAAUUUCACUUGCUGAAGACACCAUCACCGACUGGUAUUGCAAACGACCAACUUGUGUCUGGACCUCUGCAAAUUAGACAACCAAUCACUCAUCAGUCAAGUUACAAAUCAAGAAUGACCUGACAAACUGACUGUGAACUGAUG
rnacentral:lncRNA from 1 species